rnacentral:rRNA from 1 species
GACGAACGCUGGCGGCGUGCUUAACACAUGCAAGUCGAACGGAAAGGCCUGCUUUCCCUUGUGGAUUGCGGGUACUCGAGUGGCGAACGGGUGAGUAACACGUGAGUGAUCUGCUCCCAACUUGGGUAUAAGCCUGGGAAACUGGGUCUAAUUCCCGAUAGGACUGCAGGGUGGUUCCUGUGGUGGAAAACGAUUUUCUAGUGGUUGGGGAUGAGCUCGCGGCCUAUCAGCUUGUUGGUGGGGUAAUGGCCUACCAAGGCGGCGACGGGUAGCCGGCCUGAGAGGGUGGACGGCCACAUUGGGACUGAGAUACGGCCCAGACGCCUACGCGCGGCAGCAUUGGGGACUAUUGCACGAUGGGCGGAAGCCUGAUGCAGCGACGCCGCGUGGGGGAUGACGGCCUUCGGGUUGUAAACUCCUUUCGACCGCGAGGAAGCCACCUGGUUGGAAGGGUGGUGACGGUAGUGGUAGAAGAAGCACCGGCUAACUACGUG